rnacentral:rRNA from 1 species
GACGAACGCUGGCGGCGUGCUUAACACAUGCAAGUCGAACGAAGUGGCGAACGGGUGAGUAACGCGUAAUCAACCUGCCCUUCAGAGGGGGAUAACAGUUGGAAACGACUGCUAAUACCGCAUACUGAAGGAGGGGAUUGCGUCUGAUUAGCUAGUUGGAGGGGUAACGGCCCACCAAGGCGAUGAUCAGUAGCCGGGCCUGAGGGGUUGACGGGCACCAUGGGAACUGGACACCGGCCAGACUCCCACCGGGGGCCGCCGUUGGGAAACUUUCCGCAUUGAACGAAGGCUGACGGGGGAAAGGCGGCGGAGUGAUGACGGGCCUCGGGUUGGAAAGCUCUGUUAAUCGGGACGCGGUACCGGAAUAGAAAGCCACGGCUAACUACGUGCCAGCAGCCGCGGUAAUAC